ACGAACGCUGGCGGCAUGCCUAACACAUGCAAGUCGAACGAGACCUUCGGGUCUAGUGGCGCACGGGUGCGUAACGCGUGGGAAUCUGCCCUUCGGUUCGGAAUAACUCAGGGAAACUUGAGCUAAUACCGGAUAAUGACUUCGGUCCAAAGAUUUAUCGCUGAGGGAUGAGCCCGCGUCGGAUUAGCUUGUUGGUGAGGUAAAAGCUCACCAAGGCGACGAUCCGUAGCUGGUCUGAGAGGAUGAUCAGCCACACUGGGACUGAGACACGGCCCAGACUCCUACGGGAGGCAGCAGUGGGGAAUAUUGGACAAUGGGGGAAACCCCGAUCCAGCAAUGCCGCGUGAGUGAUGAAGGCCUUAGGGUUGUAAAGCUCUUUUACCCGGGAUGAUAAUGACAGUACCGGGAGAAUAAGCCCCGGCUAACUCCGUGCCAGCAGCCGCGGUAAUACGGAGGGGGCUAGCGUUGUUCGGAAUUACUGGGCGUAAAGCGCACGUAGGCGGCUUUGUAAGUUAGAGGUGAAAGCCCAGGGCUCAACCCUGGAAUUGCCUUUAAGACUGCAUCGCUUGAACAUCGGAGAGGUAAGUGGAAUUCCGAGU
rnacentral:rRNA from 1 species